rnacentral:misc_RNA from 1 species
GAUGAAGAACGUAGCGAAAUGCGAUAAGUAAUGUGAAUUGCAGAAUUCCGUGAAUCAUCGAAUCUUUGAACGCACAUUGCGCCCUCUGGUAUUCCGGGGGGCAUGCCUGUCCGAGCGUCAUUUGCAACCCUCAAGCCCGGCUUGUGUGAUGGGUGCCGUCCCCUACGGGACGCGCCCCGAAGGCAAUGGCGGCGUCGCGGUUAUCCGAUCAGCCAAAGUGUAUGGUGCUUUGUCACUCACUUUACGGCCCGGACCGGCGCCAGUCCGAAUCAAUCUUUUUUCUAAAGUUGACCUCGGAUCAGGUAGGGAUACCCGCUGAACUUAAGCAUAUCAAUAAGCGGAGGA